rnacentral:rRNA from 1 species
UACGGGGGGAGCAAGCGUUGUUCGGAUUUACUGGGCGUAAAGGGCGCGUAGGCGGCGUGACAAGUCACUUGUGAAAUCUCCGGGCUUAACCCGGAACGGUCAAGUGAUACUGUCGUGCUAGAGUACAGAAGGGGCAACUGGAAUUCUCGGUGUAGCGGUGAAAUGCGUAGAUAUCGAGAGGAACACCUGCGGCGAAGGCGGCGACCUGGUCCUUGACUGACGCUGAGGCGCGAAAGCGUGGGGAGCAAACAGG